GUGAGUAGUUCAGAGUUUGAUCCUGGCUCAGGAUGAACGCUAGCGGCAGGCUUAACACAUGCAAGUCGAGGGGCAGCAUGAAGGUUAGCAAUAACCUUUGAUGGCGACCGGCGCAAGGGUGCGUAACGCGUGAGCAACUUGCCGUUUCAGGGGGAUAACCGGUGGAAACGCCGACUAAUACCCCAUGGCAUCAUCAGGAGGCAUCUCCUUAUGAUUAAAGAAUUUCGGAAACGGAUAGGCUCGCGUGACAUUAGCUAGACGGCGGGGUAACGGCCCACCGUGGCGACGAUGUCUAGGGGUUCUGAGAGGAAGGUCCCCCACACUGGAACUGAGACACGGUCCAG
rnacentral:rRNA from 1 species